rnacentral:rRNA from 1 species
GACGAACGCUGGCGGCGUGCUUAACACAUGCAAGUCGAACGGAAAGGCCCUGCUUUUGUGGGGUGCUCGAGUGGCGAACGGGUGAGUAACACGUGAGUAACCUGCCCUUGACUUUGGGAUAACUUCAGGAAACUGGGGCUAAUACCGGAUAGGAGCUCCUGCUGCAUGGUGGGGGUUGGAAAGUUUCGGCGGUUGGGGAUGGACUUGCGGCUUAUCAGCUUGUUGGUGGGGUAGUGGCUUACCAAGGCUUUGACGGGUAGCCGGCCUGAGAGGGUGACCGGCCACAUUGGGACUGAGAUACGGCCCAGACUCCUACGGGAGGCAGCAGUGGGGAAUAUUGCACAAUGGGCGGAAGCCUGAUGCAGCAACGCCGCGUGCGGGAUGACGGCCUUCGGGUUGUAAACCGCUUUCGCCUGUGACGAAGCGUGAGUGACGGUAAUGGGUAAAGAAGUACCGGCUAACUACGUG